GUCUACGACUAAGUUUGUCUGUCCCCCCCCAAAUCAAAUGUAUUUAACCCGAAUACUAAAAAAAUAAAUGGCACAAAGAAAAAGGAAACGAGUUACCCUAGCCCACCUUCCCCCCUUCCCAGUGUACCUUUUUGACCUUUGUACCCACAGAGCCAGUAAAGCACUUCAACGAAGCACAAAUCAACACCACUUCCGUUACUCCAUCAUGUCAAAAAAACUGUUAAAAAAAAAGCAAAAUAAAUAAUGGAAGGCACUAGAAACUCCAGCAGAGCUCUCACUGGAGUACUGGGGGGCGAAAGGAGACAGAAAAGACCAAGGGCAAGUCCUACAUUGCACCUUAUUCCCUAUAUAGUGCACUACUUUUGACCAGAGCCCCAUGGGCCCUGGUCGAGGUCCAUCGGCCCCUGGUGAAAAGUUGUACACCAUGUAGGGGAUAGGGUGUUAUUUGGGACUCAACCCCAAGUUACUAUUCAAGUACGUUAAUUGAGUCCAUUUAACAUUCACAUUUAUCUAAUAUAAAGAAAGUAGAAAGAGAAGAAAGGUUAAAGUGACUUGGAUAAGUACUGGAUAAGGAAAAUAGCUAGCCUUUUACUUUGUAUUUUUUCAGCCUAAGUAUUACCAAUCCACCAUAACGUUUCCUCCAACUGUCUUUUUUUCUUCUUAAACUCAUGUUGUCCAACAACAUUUAGAAUAAUCACAGUGUUUCAACAUCAAAAACUGAUGGGUAAAUACAGGUCCAUACAGAACACAUCUUGUCUUCUUUUUUAAAUAGAAUAAUAAUAAUGUACAUUUUUGUUUUCAAUCACACUAUUGAAAAGACUCAGAAGUAGAGAGAUCGAGGCCCCUAAUGCUGUCAACAUCAUGAUUAUAAAAGCUGUUAUGUUACUAUUAGAUCAUAGGUUUGAAAGCUUCACAAGCCCUCCUCAGGACAGACAGCGUUGUGUUGCUGGAGAUCCAAGGCUACAACCAUCAUACCAUCCCCCAUGCAGCCUGCCUCCAGCCCAGCCCACGUCCAGUCCUCCCCCUGCCCCACCGAGACCUCUCCUUCUCUGGGUCCACGCAGGACCAACACCAACCCACCUCACAACCGUGAAAACAAUCUCAUGUGUGACACAGAGCCAACAGGACAUACCUCCCUCCGUUCGCCCUGCACUCCCUCUCAGAGCUAAACCACCUGUGAAAAAGAAGGCUAUUGAGUCUGAGAGGGUCUACUUCAGUCAACAAGUCCUGUCUGAGAGAAUCUACUUCAGUCCUGUCUGUGUUCGUUCAGGGGAGAUCUCUCAUUAGGGAUAUGUAGAUGAGAACCAUGGAAACUACCAGCCAGCUUAUACAGACUUUAGGCUUCAGGAUUGGGAUCUCAUUGGCCUCCCAGAUACAGCACAUUUUAGAAUGGAGUAACUAUAAGCCUGAAGUUAAGACUGGGAUAGAUGGGUCUCUCACACAGUACUCCUCUCCAAUCAGGUGAAGAGAUGGUUAGCAUGGAGAUGGGAGUUGUAGUUUCUUUAAAGGCCCUAUACUGAGAGUUCCUGGAUAGGAGGGUCAACCCUAGCGUAAACCCUUUCAUCAUGCUACAGAAGGGUCUCCUCAGUUCAAUGGGGACAGAGGAAAAAAAUAAAAACACUAAUUAAACAUGGAAUCAUCAUAAACCCAAACUCUUAAAAAAAAGACAUUCUGAAUCUGGUCAUGGAUUGUUUUGUUUCCUAAUGAAGGUCACUAUGUGUUUUUAUUAUAUUUAGGAGGAGGUUUCUAUUGUGUUCUUAUUGCAUCCCAUGGCAACAGGAGGGGUAGAGUAGAGUAUGAACCCCCAGGCCUUUUCUACUGAUUCUCCACCUACACACACCAAUGUACAUCCUAAAUGAUAUAUAGGAAUAGCAGUACAUGUGGUUCCGGAUGUCAACACUGCCUGACCAGCUACAUACAUGGCACCAGUCCCACACCUCGGCCUCACAAGCUCAUUCCUUCACCCCAUAACCUUCCUCACAUCUCCUCAACAUGCUACACAACUCUACCAUAAUGGACUUCUACUGGAGCUGUAUAGUACUGUACGGUCACUUAAAGCUCUGUUCUGGAGGUCAGUUACCAGCAGGAGGAGCUGUAUAGUACUGUACGGUCACUUAAAGCUCUGUUCUGGAGGUCAGUUACCAGCAGGAGGAGCUGUAUAGUAC
rnacentral:lncRNA from 1 species